rnacentral:snRNA from 1 species
AACUUUGCACAGCGGCAGGAUCAUAGCCAGUGAGGUUUCUCCGAGGCACGAGUAUUGCUAAUUAAAAACUAAACAGAGGAAACAUUAGCAAAUGUAAUGAAAAAUGUUAAACGCGUUAACCCUGAACC